rnacentral:rRNA from 1 species
AGUGAACGCUGGCGGUAGGCCUAACACAUGCAAGUCGAACGGCAGCAGAGUAAGAGCUUGCUCUUACGGGAGGCGAGUGGCGGACGGGUGAGGAAUACAUCGGAAUCUACUUUUUCGGGGGGGAUAACGAAGGGAAACUGACGCUAAUACCGCAUACGACCUACGGGUGAAAGCAGGGGGUCUUCGAACCUUGCGCAAUUGAAUGAGCCGAUGUCGGAUUAGCUAGUUGGCAGGGUAAAGGCCCACCAAGGCGACGAUCCGUAGCUGGUCUGAGAGGAUGAUCGGCCACACUGGAACUGAGACACGGUCCAGACUCCUACGGGAGGCAGCAGUGGGGAAUCUUGGACAAUGGGCGCAAGCCUGAUCCAGCAAUACCGCGUGGGUGAAGAAGGCCUUCGGGUUGUAAAGCUCUUUUGUUGGGAAAGAACAGCAGCAGGUUAAUCCCCCGCUGUUCUGACGGUACCCAACGAAUAAGCACCGGCUAACUUCGUG